AUGAAAUAUUGUUCUCACCCAAAUUAAUUAUUUAUCAACAUGUCAAUUAUCAAAUAAAUAAAAUAAAGCCCAACCAAAUUUUAAUUUAUACAUGAAGGACCAUACAAAUUCAAAUCAUCAUACAAAUAUCAAAAGACUUUUUAAGGGAACAAAUGAUAAAUCCGGACCCAAUUGCGAAAUCUCGACCUUAUCGAUGUUAGAAUAAUUAACUAAUCAAGCAAGUAAGACAUGUUUCAGCACUCAUGCUAGUCAGUGUUCAACUAGAAAUUAGGAUUAAUCGAUGUUCAUAAAAAUUAGGGCUUUUAUUAUGAGUCAAGAUAGUAAGAAUAGCAAUCAUGAGUGUGAGGGAACAUACCAGAGAGGAACUCAUCCAAAAAAUUAAAAAAGAGCUGGAGAUUUAAUCCUUAAUACUGCAUGCGAAUUUCUACUCAUCGGUGGAUUCCGACAGAAUUGGGUUUUGCAGUGGUUGGGCGGGGCUGGAGGGGAGAUUCACCAGUUAGGCUCGCUGAAGAUGGUGAUGGAUUGGUGACGCGGUUGUUGUCGUCGAUUGAGCAACGACAAUGUAAAGUGAAGCGACAGAUAGAGGAGGACGGCCGCCGAUUUCGGCGGCUGGCUGUUGUGAUCUUCGGCGAGAGAAAAGAGAGAAGAGGGCGGCGGUGCCGGCCGUUAGGUGGUCUGCUCCGGCCGCGGCGUGCGAGUGAAAGAGAUAUGGGAGAGAGAAAAGAAUGGUGAGGAGACUGGUUUUGGUAAAAAAA
rnacentral:lncRNA from 1 species